UACGGAGGUGGCGAGCGUUGUUCGGAUUUAUUGGGUGUAAAGGGUAUGUAGGUGUCCUGUUAAGUCUCCUUUAAAAUACUUUGGCUUAACCAAAGAACUGGGGGGGAAACUGAUGGGAUUGAGUACAGGAGAGGAAAGCGGAAUUCCCGGUGUAAGGGUGAAAUCUGUAGAUAUCGGGAGGAACACCAGUGGCGAAAGCGGCUUUCUGGCCUGAUACUGACACUGAAAUACGAAAGCAAGGGGAGCAAACAGG
rnacentral:rRNA from 1 species